GACGAAGGGGGCUAGCGUUGUUCGGAAUUACUGGGCGUAAAGCGCGUGUAGGCGGUUGUCCAAGUUGGAUGUGAAAGCCUUGAGCUCAACUCAAGAAAUGCACUCGGUACUGGGCGACUAGAGGACCGGAGAGGAUAGUGGAAUUCCCAGUGUAGUGGUGAAAUACGUAGAGAUUGGGAAGAACACCAGUGGCGAAGGCGGCUAUCUGGACGGUUUCUGACGCUAAGACGCGAAAGCGUGGGGAGCAAACAGG
rnacentral:rRNA from 1 species